AUAUAUACUGUAAGCUUUUUUUAUAUACAUUCAGCAACGAUCUAAUACACACUUACAGUUAAAUUGAUACAUAAUUUACUGAAUUUAGUUUCACCAGUACAGAGUAUACAACUAAUUGAUAUACACCUAAUAAAAUAUUUAUUCAACAUCUUAAUACACACCUUUAGAUAAAGUGAUAUAUAAUUUUUAAAAUAUAGCAUUCAUCAAUACACAACACAUCAGCAAAUGAUACACACU
rnacentral:lncRNA from 1 species